rnacentral:rRNA from 1 species
GAUGAACGCUGGCGGCGUGCCUAAUACAUGCAGGUCGAGCGAACGGACGAGAAGCUUGCUUCUCUGAUGUUAGCGGCGGACGGGUGAGUAACACGUGGAUAACCUACCUAUAAGACUGGGAUAACUUCGGGAAACCGGAGCUAAUACCGGAUAAUAUUUUGAACCGCAUGGUUCAAAAGUGAAAGACGGUCUUGCUGUCACUUAUAGAUGGAUCCGCGCUGCAUUAGCUAGUUGGUAAGGUAACGGCUUACCAAGGCAACGAUGCAUAGCCGACCUGAGAGGGUGAUCAGCCACACUGGAACUGAGACACGGUCCAGACUCCUACGGGAGGCAGCAGUAGGGAAUCUUCCGCAAUGGGCGAAAGCCUGACGGAGCAACGCCGCGUGAGUGAUGAAGGUCUUCGGAUCGUAAAACUCUGUUAUUAGGGAAGAACAUAUGUGUAAGUAACUGUGCACAUCUUGACGGUACCUAAUCAGAAAGCCACGGCUAACUACGUG